AUUGAACGCUGGCGGCAGGCCUAACACUUGCAAGUCGGACGGUAGCACAGAGGAGCUUGCUCCUCGGGUGACGAGUGGCGGACGGGUGAGUAAUGUCUGGGGAUCUGCCCGAUAGAGGGGGAUAACCACUGGAAACGGUGGCUAAUACCGCAUAACGUCGCAAGACCAAAGAGGGGGACCUUCGGGCCUCUCACUAUCGGAUGAACCCAGAUGGGAUUAGCUAGUAGGCGGGGUAACGGCCCACCUAGGCGACGAUCCCUAGCUGGUCUGAGAGGAUGACCAGCCACACUGGAACUGAGACACGGUCCAGACUCCUACGGGAGGCAGCAGUGGGGAAUAUUGCACAAUGGGCGCAAGCCUGAUGCAGCCAUGCCGCGUGUAUGAAGAAGGCCUUCGGGUUGUAAAGUACUUUCAGCGGGGAGGAAGGCGAUGUGGUUAAUAACCGCGUCGAUUGACGUUACCCGCAGAAGAAGCACCGGCUAACUCCGUGCCAGCCGCCGCCGUAC
rnacentral:rRNA from 1 species